rnacentral:rRNA from 1 species
AACGAACGCUGGCGGCAUGCCUAACACAUGCAAGUCGAACGAGACCUUCGGGUCUAGUGGCGCACGGGUGCGUAACGCGUGGGAACCUGCCCUUAGGUUCGGAAUAACUCCCCGAAAGGGGUGCUAAUACCGGAUAAUGUCUUCGGACCAAAGAUUUAUCGCCUUUGGAUGGGCCCGCGUUGGAUUAGCUAGUUGGUAGGGUAAAAGCCUACCAAGGCGACGAUCCAUAGCUGGUCUGAGAGGAUGAUCAGCCACACUGGGACUGAGACACGGCCCAGACUCCUACGGGAGGCAGCAGUGGGGAAUAUUGGACAAUGGGCGAAAGCCUGAUACAGCAAUGCCGCGUGAGUGAUGAAGGCCUUAGGGUUGUAAAGCUCUUUUACACGGGAUGAUAAUGACAGUACCGGGAGAAUAAGCACCGGCUAACUCCGUG